rnacentral:tRNA from 2 species
GUGGGGGUGGCAGAAAUAUGCGUUAAAUUUAAACUUUAAAGAUGGGGAGUUCUUGUCCUCUCUCUACA